rnacentral:rRNA from 1 species
CAGUAGCCGCGGUAAUACAGAGGGUGCGAGCGUUAAUCGGAUUUACUGGGCGUAAAGCGUGCGUAGGCGGCUAAUUGAGUCGGAUGUGAAAUCCCCGAGCUUAACUUGGGAAUUGCAUUCGAUACUGGUUAGCUAGAGUGUGGGAGAGGAUGGUAGAAUUCCAGGUGUGGCGGUGAAAUGCGUAGAGAUCUGGAGGAAUACCGAUGGCGAAGGCAGCCAUCUGGCCUAACACUGACGCUGAGGUACGAAAGCAUGGGGAGCAAACAGGAUUAGAUACCCGGGUAGUCCCUGUCUCUUAUAC